AGCAACACUAGCUAUUCUAAUAACAUUUAGCUUUUAUAGUAGUUGUUAGCUAAAAGUUAAGGGAGGUAGCUUUUGAUGAACCACUAUUUAAUCACUCCAUACAGUGUUCUAACUGGGUUAAAACACUAAAACUAAUUAAAAAUUUGUCACCAAACAAGGCCUAAAUGAUUACU